CACAGUGGAUAGAACACUGAGCCUGGAGUCAGGAAGACUUGAAUUCAAAUAUAGCCUCAAAAACUUGCUAGUUGUGUAAUCCUGAGGAAGUGUAGUGGAGAGGGAAACUGAGAGGGGGAUUAGUAAGAUGAUGACACAGGAAGCAGUUGAGGUAAAGGACUGAGUUCAAGAUCACAACUUCCUUCUUGUUUCUCUCUGCUGGACAGCCCUAAUGGAGUCUGACCUAACAGAUGGUGUCACCCUCCCCAAACCUUCUCCUUUGAAUAUUUUAAAUUCUCCCUCCUACUACAAAGCUUGAAGACAGUUUCUUAUAGUUGAAGUCUUCGCCCAUUUCUCUGGAUCACAGAAGUCACUUAAGCUCUAUAUGACUCAGUUUCCUCAACUAUAAAAUGGAUAGAACAAUAGCACCUCCCUCCCAGGGAAAGAGCAUGCUCCUGAAGUGCCUAGCUUUAAGAGUGGACCACCUUCUGUGCCUCAGGCUUGACAUCUAUCUGAGCAUCUAUGACCAUCUCAUCAAUCUAAAGCUGGUCAAUGAGGUCUUUUGGAAGUCAUCUGAUCCCAUUCCUUUAAGUAUCAUCUCUAUGCACAUAGCUACCAAAUCUAUUCUCAUGCAAUAGCUAUUGAACAUUGCAAAUCAGUGUCCUGUUGGUGUGUGAACCUCAACUCAUUCUCUUUCUCCCCAAACUCAGCCCUUACUCUUCUUCCUCACCUAAUCAGUUGCCAAAUCUUUCCAUUUCUACCUUCACAACAUCUCUCUCCUCACUCCCCCCCUUCCCCCCCCCCCUUGUUACUUCUUGCUUGGAAGAUUGUAAGACUCUUAAUUUUUCCCUCUUCCCCAAAUCUCUAUCCUUUCCAGUCUAUCCUGCCCACAAUGGUCAAAAUUAUUUUCUUAAAUCUCAAGUUGGACUAUAUUCCUCGAAAGACUUCAAUAGCUCCCUCUUGCCUUAAAAUCCAG
rnacentral:lncRNA from 1 species